GACGAACGCUGGCGGCGUGCCUAAUACAUGCAAGUAGAAGCUAGUUGCGAACGGGUGAGUAAUGUAUCGGAACGUGCCCAGUAGCGGGGGAUAACUACGCGAAAGCGUAGCUAAUACCGCAUACUCUUUGAGCGGCCGAUAUCGGAUUAGCUAGUUGGUGGGGUAAAGGCUCACCAAGGCGACGAUCCGUAGCUGGUUUGAGAGGACGACCAACCACACUGGGACUGAGACACGGCCCAGAAUCCUAAGGGAGGAAGCAGUGGGGAAUGUUGGACAAUGGGGGAAACCCUGAUGCAGCCAUCCCGAGUGUGAGAUGAAGGCCGUCGGGUUGUAAAGCACGUUUGGCAGGAAAGCGGUACCUGCAGAAGAAGAACCGGCUAACUACGUGCCAGCAGCCGCGGUAAUAC
rnacentral:rRNA from 1 species